GAAGCUGUCUCCAUAGGGAAGAGGCCUGAUGUGGACUGUCCGAACUGAAGGAGGGCACUUUCCUCUCCAUAGCCCCACCUUCUCCUGGAGGAAUGUAGCUUUCCUGCUGCUUCUCUCCCUUGCUUUGGAGUGGACUUCUGCAAUGCUGACCAAGAAGAUCAAACACAAACCAGGGUUAUGUCCCAAAGAGAGGCUCACCUGUACCACUGAACUUCCGGACUCAUGUAACACAGAUUUUGACUGCAAGGAAUACCAGAAGUGCUGCUUUUUUGCCUGUCAGAAGAAGUGCAUGGAUCCCUUUCAAGGUAGCGAUGUCCAGGCUGAGGACAGAGGUUCCCCACUUCUUGCUCUGUCCAAAACUGGCUGAGGGAUUCCCUUGGAUGGCAGGACAAGGACCCAGGGCCUGUGCUCUUCUCAUUCUGUUAUUCAAUGCCUAACCCUCAAGUACAAGUCAUAAGUCUAGGCAUGGUGACCAUCAAUCACCAUAAUAUUGAUGCUGGUCUUCUUGGGUCCAACAUUCAAUUAUUCACAAAUAACUAAUACUUGUUGCAUGCGCACUCUGUUCAAGAGACUGUUAUGGCACUGUGACAAAAUAAAACCUCAGUCAGCUU
rnacentral:lncRNA from 10 species